AACGAACGCUGGCGGCAUGCCUAACACAUGCAAGUCGAACGAGACCUUCGGGUCUAGUGGCGCACGGGUGCGUAACGCGUGGGAACCUGCCCUUAGGUUCGGAAUAACUCCCCGAAAGGGGUGCUAAUACCGGAUAAUGUCUUCGGACCAAAGAUUUAUCGCCUUUGGAUGGGCCCGCGUUGGAUUAGCUAGUUGGUAGGGUAAAAGCCUACCAAGGCGACGAUCCAUAGCUGGUCUGAGAGGAUGAUCAGCCACACUGGGACUGGGACACGGCCCCGACUCCUACGGGAGGCAGCAGUGGGGAAUAUUGGACAAUGGGCGAAAGCCUGAUCCAGCAAUGCCGCGUGAGUGAUGAAGGCCUUAGGGUUGUAAAGCUCUUUUAACCGGGAUGAUAAUGACAGUACCGGGAGAAUAAGCUCCGGCUAACUCCGUG
rnacentral:rRNA from 1 species